GAACAGUAAAGAGCCACUCGCAGUGAUGAGGGCCUAAAUCUGCUGAUUGUAGACACGAGGAAUUCACAAUAUCCCAUCAGUCACAAGGGGGACAGACAAGCUAAUUGACCCACUUAAUGAAUAGAGCUCCCCAAAGAGGGCUGUCUUUCAUGGCUUAAGUCCCAUUAAUCAACAAAUACUCAUUGGGUUCCUGCUGUGCCCUCAUGCGGAUGCUGGAGAUGCCUGGGGAGCAUGGCAUAAAUCAAGACCUGUGGCCCAGAGCAUCCUUUGAUGCUGCUGGGAAAAUGAUGGCACGUGAUGCUGCUGGAAACAUGGUCUGCUUAUGAACAUGGCUGUACUCACAGAAGAAGGUGCUAAUCGCAAAGACAGGGAAAGUAUAACACUGUGUGGAAGAAGAGGCUCACUGUUUGCACUGAGCUGGAAGUGUAAGGCACAGAACCUCGAGCAGGCUUCAGAUGCCAACAUCCAGGUCAGAAGUACAACUUGAAGAGACUUGUAAAGAACUCCCAACUCCCAAGGAAUUCAUCCAUUCUUUAGGCCUGGCCCUGCUAAGCAUGGAAUACCUGAGGACACAUCCUGCAUUUUCAGAUCAGUCUUCACUUUCCAGCUGCAUGGUCGUAAACAGUCCUUGAUGUGGUUGAACUGCUGUGGAUAUGUAUGAAUUCCCAGUAAAACUGCCAUCAGUUUGAUUGUCUCAGCUGCUGUGCCACUUCUCUGGCUGACAUCUCUCCAAGCAACAUGACAGCCCAUCCAAGCAGUGAAACAUUAUGAGAAGACUGGAUCCUCAUUGACUACUAUCCCCAUGAGGCUGAAGAUACAUUAGGCUGGCCUAGCCAUGGCCCCUAGUUAGUGGUUGGUUUUUAAGUCCCUUUGGCCAGGCCAAUCCCCAGGGACCUGAUCAAGCUCCAAUGUAGGAACUCCUCUGAUGAUGAUGCGGCUAAGAACUACACAUGUCAACACUAACCAAAGCUAGUGACCCUACUUGGUAUAUCUUGGCCUCCAUUUUACUUGAGGCUUCCAGAGCAAAGCUGAGCUUCCUAGAAGAAAAGCUACUCUCUCUCAGGACAGCUGCCUCAGCAUCUUCUAGUUCCAGUUUCCUACCUGCCAGGAGCUCUGGAUGCCAGUCCUGUGGAGGAGUAAGCCAGUUCUCUGUGACCAACCUCUAAUGUUUGCUUCUGUGAAUAUCCAGACUUCCUAACGUUCAAUGGAGUCAUCAGGACAGACUCUAAUCCUGAAGAAGCCCAGGAGCACCUGGCCUGUUUCCAGUUUUAUGACCCAGGCCCUUGCUCUUCUCCACACACACACCAUGUGUGGUCUGUUUGUUAUGGAGUCAUGAUAGUACUCCAUAGUGCCUUUCUAAACCCACUCUUUGACAUGGAUCCUAGGGGAUCAUCUGGCCAUAGUAUAUUCUCAACUGAUGCCUGCAAACAGAGAAGGAUUUACCUUGUGCAGCAGACCCCCCACCCACAUACACCUUCAUAGGGAAGGAUUUACCUUGUGCAGCAGAUCCCCCACUCACCCACAUACACCUUCAUAGGGAAGGGUUUACCUUGUGCAGCAGACCCCCCACCCACCCACACACACACCUUCACUUUUUGUUUUCCCAGUGUGGGAUCUCGAAUUCAGAGGAUACCUUUGCCUUUUGUGUACAUGUCUCUGAACGCCCACCCUCAUCUGUAAUGGACAUACCCAUUGUUAAAGAGAGGGUUGGAAAAUGAGUACCCAGUUCUCUCAUGAACCCUGUAUCUUCAAGUCUUAGUAUGCAGUAACUCUGUGUUUAUCGUGUCUUAUACUUUAAUGUGACCAGAGAGGCAAAGCUGCCUCCUGUACGACCUCUGAGGAAACUCAGUCAGUGGUGAGUGAGGGCAAAUGCCCUCUCUUACUUGCCUGCCACCUUUAAGAACCCCUGCUCUUAACUGGAUUCCCUUCUGCAGCACUCUCUGGAUGGAGGAGGGGGUCAGAAAAACACAGGCAACAAGCAAGGAGCAUGAGGCAGUGGACAGCAGAAGGCACUGAAGAUGAAGGGGCUCACCCAGAUGCAGCUCUGUCCUCCAGGAGCCCAGACCCAGCACACACAGGAGUCCAGGCCUCCAGAUCUCUCUUGCAUUGUGCCCAGGCAGGUCUGAUUGUCUUGUGUGCUGACUCUCUAGAAGCUGCUUAGUUCCUUCCAAAGCCUUACUUGAAAAGUGGCUUAAGAUGAUCCCAGCAUAGAUAAAAUGUGACAGGGUCUAAUUCCAAGGAGGGGGUCUCAUGACAGAGGUUCAGAUUGAGAAUGUGGUUAGAACAGGGAACUGACUUUGAGAAAUUGUGAUUUGAAUAUAAAAUGUUCCUUAGGCUCAUAUGUUUGAAUCUAGUUGGGAG
rnacentral:lncRNA from 1 species